GACGAACGCUGGCGGCGUGCCUAAUACAUGCAAGUCGAACGCAAAACUUUCACCGAAUGCUUGCAUUCAUGAAAGUUUUGAGUGGCGAACGAGUGAGUAACACGUGGGUAACCUGCCCAGAAGAGGGGGAUAACACUUGGAAACAGGUGCUAAUACCGCAUAAUAACAAAAACCGCAUGGUUUUUGUUUGAAAGAUGGUUUUGCUAUCACUUCUGGAUGGACCCGCGGCGUAUUAGCUAGUUGGUAAGGUAAAGGCUUACCAAGGCAAUGAGACGUAGCCGAACUGAGAGGUUGAUCGGCCACAUUGGGACUGAGACACGGCCCAAACUCCUACGGGAGGCAGCAGUAGGGAAUCUUCCACAAUGGACGAAAGUCUGAUGGAGCAACGCCGCGUGAGUGAAGAAGGUUUUCGGAUCGUAAAACUCUGUUGUUAGAGAAGAACGUGUGUGAGAGUAACUGCUCAUGCAGUGACGGUAUCUAACCAGAAAGCCACGGCUAACUACGUGCCAGCCGCCGCGGUAA
rnacentral:rRNA from 1 species